UGGGGAAUCUUGGACAAUGGGGGCAACCCUGAUCCAGCGAUGCCGCGUGGGUGAAGAAGGCCUUCGGGUUGUAAAGCCCUUUAGGUUGGGAAGAAGGUUAUUAGGGGAUAAUCCUAGUAAUUUGACGGUACCAACAGAAUAAGCACCGGCAAACUCUGUGCCAGCAGCCGCGGUAAUACAGAGGGUGCGAGCGUUAAUCGGAUUUACUGGGCGUAAAGGGCGCGUAGGCGGUGAAAUGGGUGUGAUGUGAAAGCCCUGGGCUUAACCUAGGAAGUGCAUCGCAAACUAUUUGACUGGAGUAUAUGAGAGGGUGGUGGAAUUUCCGGUGUAGCGGUGAAAUGCGUAGAGAUCGGAAGGAACGUCAAUGGCGAAGGCAGCCACCUGGCAUAAUACUGACGCUGAGGCGCGAAAGCGUGGGGAGCAAACA
rnacentral:rRNA from 1 species